rnacentral:rRNA from 1 species
AACGAACGCUGGCGGCGUGCCUAACACAUGCAAGUCGAACGUGAUUGGAAGCUUGCUUCCAUGAAAGUGGCGCACGGGUGAGUAACGCGUAGAUAAUCUACCUGGUGAUCCGGGAUAACAGUUCGAAAGGACUGCUAAUACCUGAUAAGCCCACGGAGUCCUUGGACUCUGCGGGAAAAGGGGGGGACCGUAAGGCCUUCCGUCAUCAGAUGAGUCUGCGUACCAUUAGCUAGUUGGUAGGGUAAAGGCCUACCAAGGCGACGAUGGUUAGCUGGUCUGAGAGGAUGAGCAGCCACACUGGAACUGAGACACGGUCCAGACUCCUACGGGAGGCAGCAGUGGGGAAUUUUGCGCAAUGGGCGAAAGCCUGACGCAGCAACGCCGCGUGAGUGAUGAAGGCCCUUGGGUCGUAAAGCUCUGACAGAGGGAAAGAAAUGUAGAGUGGCUAAUAUCCACAUUACUUGACGGUACCCUCAAAGGAAGCACCGGCUAACUCCGUGCCAGCAGCCGCAGUAA